rnacentral:rRNA from 1 species
CCUACGGGUGGCAGCAGUGGGGAAUAUUGGACAAUGGGCGAAAGCCUGAUCCAGCCAUGCCGCGUGUGUGAAGAAGGCCUUCGGGUUGUAAAGCACUUUCAGUGGGGAAGAAAGCCUUGGGGCUAAUACCCUCGAGGAAGGACAUCACCCACAGAAGAAGCACCGGCUAACUCCGUGCCAGCAGCCGCGGUAAUACGGAGGGUGCGAGCGUUAAUCGGAAUUACUGGGCGUAAAGCGCGCGUAGGCGGUCUGAUAAGCCGGUUGUGAAAGCCCCGGGCUCAACCUGGGAACGGCAUCCGGAACUGUCAGGCUAGAGUGCAGGAGAGGAAGGUAGAAUUCCCGAUGUAGCGGUGAAAUGCGUAGAGAUCGGGAGGAAUACCAGUGGCGAAGGCGGCCUUCUGGACUGACACUGACGCUGAGGUGCGAAAGCGUGGGUAGCAAACAGGAUUAGAUACCCGAGUAGUC